UUAAAACCUAAGCAACUAUUCACUAGAAUGUUCUACAAGAAACCACGGGCUUUUCGGUCAAAAUAGGUAGCUUGUUUCCGAAGCAAAAGCAGCAAAAGAGAACCCUGAAGCUUGGCACAGCCGUGCUGCUGGUGGCACGGGCCGUGCCUCCUUUCUGAAUUGGGGAGUGACAUAAUUUUGUCCCAUAUUUCGUAUUUUCAUCCCGAAUCAGCUUCUAAUCCUCUUUCUUUUGCUCCAAGACUCAAUCUAUCAAAUAUUCAUUCAUGAAAUAUAAUAAUAUGCAAUUGAAGUAAAAUAGUUCUAAAAGAAAAUAAUAUUUAAAUAAAAUAAACUUAAAUCUAAAUAAAACGGAAUCAAAUAUUAUAUUAAAACUACUAAUUAUUGACUCAUCACCUCCUCCACUAUAUUCUUCUCCUUCCUCAUUAGAAUUUGAUAUGCCGACAUCUCUGAAUAGAUCAUUGAAGAUUCAUUUUCUUCAUUAAUAUAAGGAGCAUAAUAUUUGAAUACACUCACGUAUUUGAAAUGAAAAAAAAAAAAGACGAAAAAAGAAUUAAAUAAUAUAUAUUUUAAAAUAAUCAAAUAAUAUCCAUUUUAAUGUGUGUGUCCAAAUAUUUUGUAUAAAUCAUUGUGAUCAUAUAAUAGUUUUUCAACUCAUUUCUUAAAAAAAGAAAAUAGAAAAGGUAAUUUUAAUUUCCCACUCAUCUUUCCUUCCCAUCUGCACCUCUUUCAAUUUCGCGUGUGCCCAUUUCCAUUCACAUUCUCUAUACUUCCUCCACAAUUAUCCUUAAUUAACAUUGCAAAUACCUUCUUUAAUCUAUAUAUAUGACAGUUUGUCAAGUUAAACAUGACAUAUAUGUUCCACCCAACCAACACAUGAUCAUAAAAUAACCAUUACAUGUUUGAGCUCAACAAAUCUUAUCAUACAUUAAUCACACCAAAUCUCACCCUUUAUUAUUAUUUUUUGGAUAGAAAUCAAAACUCACCUUCAUCUGCCUCAUUUUUUGUUUUUAAGAUUUAAUAGAACUCUCCCUUUCAUUACAAACAAACAAAUACCCAUCUUACAUUAAACAUUGAAUUAUUGAAAGAAACCAAACAAAAUUUCUACAAACUUCAAAGCCGACAUAAACAAGAAUUGUACCCUCUAAGAAAUAUUAUCAUUAUUGUCACGUGAUUCCAUGAGAUUUUGCCGAAGGUUGUUAACUAGAUCAUUCAUACUCAUGCAGUAUUCAUCAUCCAUCUGCAUCAUAUAGCUAAACCAUAUUAAGAAUUUCAAAUUACUAUAUAUAUAUAGUACUUAUUUUUGGUACAAAUUAAUGAAUUAUCGUAUACUUAAUUUAUGCUAGACCACUUAUAAUGAACGUGGUCCAUUCCUUAAAUGAAA
rnacentral:lncRNA from 1 species